CGUAGGGUGCAAGCGUUGUCCGGAAUUAUUGGGCGUAAAGAGCUCGUAGGCGGUCUGUUGCGUCGGCUGUGAAAACCCGGGGCUCAACCCCGGGCCUGCAGCCGAUACGGGCAGGCUAGAGUUCGGCAGGGGAGACUGGAAUUCCUGGUGUAGCGGUGAAAUGCGCAGAUAUCAGGAGGAACACCGGUGGCGAAGGCGGGUCUCUGGGCCGAUACUGACGCUGAGGAGCGAAAGCGUGGGGAGCGAACAGGAUUAGAUACCCUGGUAGUCCACGCCGUAAACGUUGGGCGCUAGGUGUGGGUUCCCUUCCACGGGAUCCGUGCCGCAGCUAACGCAUUAAGCGCCCCGCCUGGGGAGUACGGCCGCAAGGCUA
rnacentral:rRNA from 1 species